UACGUAGGGGGCUAGCGUUGUCCGGAUUUAUUGGGCGUAAAGAGCUUGUAGGCGGCUUGUCACGUCGGCUGUGAAAACCCGAGGCUCAACCUCGGGCCUGCAGUCGAUACGGGCAAGCUAGAGUUCGGCAGGGGAGACUGGAAUUCCUGGUGUAGCGGUGAAAUGCGCAGAUAUCAGGAAGAACACCAAUGGCGAAGGCAGCUCUCUGGGACGGUACUGACGCUGAGACGCGAAAGCGUGGGGAGCGAACAGG
rnacentral:rRNA from 1 species